UAUUAUGUCACUAAUUAGAGACCCUUAACUGACUAGGACAGGAGAUGUUCACAACAACUUGGUGGGGUGAGAGGAGUGACAAACAGUGUACCACUCUGCUUCAGAUGUUUUGCAGUGGAACCAGCACUCCUUUCCCUAAGCCCUUGGCUCUCAGCAUUCACUGGAAACAUUUUCCAGCUGUGAGAUGAAAGGAAUGCUUGUGUUGGUCCUGUUAAUCACACGUGCACAGUGAUAUGUUCAACAUAUCUGUCUCUCCACUGUUUUUUCAAAUAGAGAAAACAGGCAAGAAGAAAGCAUGGAGGACUUAGGACAAACCACAACAAACAUGAACUGAAAGCUGCUGGGGAAGCAGAAUGAA